rnacentral:rRNA from 1 species
AUUGAACGCUGGCGGCAGGCUUAACACAUGCAAGUCGCACGAGUGGCGGACGGGUGAGUAAUGUCUGGGAAACUGCCCGAUGGAGGGGGAUAACUACUGGAAACGGUAGCUAAUACCGCAUACUAUCGGAUGUGCCCAGAUGGGAUUAGCUAGUAGGUGGGGUAACGGCUCACCAAGGCAACGAUCCCUAGCUGGUCUGAGCGGAGGACCAGCCACACUGGAACUGAGACACGGUCCAGACUCCUAGGGGAGGCAGCAGUGGGGAAUAUUGCACAAGGGGGGAAAGCCUGAUGCAGCCAGGCCGCGUGUAUGAAGAAGGCCUUCGGGUUGUAAAGUACUUUCAGCGAGGAGGCGUUACUCGCAGAAGAAGCACCGGCUAACUCCGUGCCAGCAGCCGCGGUAAUAC